rnacentral:tRNA from 2 species
GGGCGAUUAGCUCAGCUGGCAGAGCAGCUGACUCUUAAUCAGCGGGUCGCAGGUUCGAAUCCUGCAUCGCCCA